CAGGAAGCUGCUAAACAUUCUUGAGCUGAAAGAAGACUGGGGGAAAGGAUCCUUCCCCUGCAAUGGCACAGUAGCAGGAGAGGCCCUUCACCAUCUACUGUAAACAGAAAGAAAUCAGAGGCUCUCACAUGCAGGGCUGUUGGCAGAUCACCAUGAACUUGUUUCAGCCAGAGCACACUUCGUCGUCAUGGUCAGUGAAAGCCUCCGAGCUUCAAAGGGUCCUGUCCUGGAAGCUGUCCUGGAAGGAUAUGACUCUCAUUCAGCCACUGGAACAAGAUUAGAUUAUUAAUAAAACAAGUUUAUUAUGGAAUUACUUAUCUCUCUUAAUAAACACAGGUUAUAAACA